GAAACUGGAGCUAAUACCGAAUAAGACCACGAGGUCUCCGGACCUUGCGGAAAAAGGUGGCCUCUUCUUGAAAGCUAUCGCCUGUUGAUGAGCCCGCGUCCCAUUAGCUUGUUGGUGAGAUAAAAGCUCACCAAGGCAUCGAUGGGUAGCUGGUCUGAGAGGAUGAUCAGCCACACUGGAACUGAGACACGGUCCAGACUCCUACGGGAGGCAGCAGUCGGGAAUCUUGCACAAUGGGCGAAAGCCUGAUGCAGCAACGCCGCGUGAGGGAUGAAGGCCCUCGGGUCGUAAACCUCUGUCGGAAGGGAAGAAAAUAUUUCGGGCCAAUACCCCGGAGUAUCGACGGUACCUUCAAAGGAAGCGCCGGCUAACUCCGUGCCAGCAGCCGCGGUAAUACGGAGGGCGCGAGCGUUAUUCGGAAUCAUUGGGCGUAAAGCGCGUGUAGGCGGCUGGGCAAGUCGGAUGUGAAAGCCCGGGGCUCAACCCCGG
rnacentral:rRNA from 1 species